rnacentral:rRNA from 1 species
AACGAACGCUGGCGGCGUGGAUAAGACAUGCAAGUCGAACGCUCAUUUCAGGGUAGCAAUAUUCUGGAGUGGGAGUGGCGUAAGGGUGCGUAACACGUGGGUAAUUUGCCAUGAAGUUGGGGAUAACUCGCUGAAAGGCGAGCUAAUACCGAAUGUGGCUACUGGGAGGAUCUUCUGGUAGCUGAAGUUGGGGACCGCAAGGCCUGACGCUUCAUGAUAAGCCCGUGGCCUAUCAGCUAGUUGGCGGGGUAACGGCCCACCAAGGCUAAGACGGGUAGCUGGUCUGAGAGGACGACCAGCCACACUGGAACUGAGACACGGUCCAGACACCUACGGGUGGCAG